rnacentral:rRNA from 1 species
UACGUAGGGUGCAAGCGUUAAUCGGAAUUACUGGGCGUAAAGCGUGCGCAGGCGGCUUUGCAAGACAGAUGUGAAAUCCCCGGCUUAACCUGGGAACUGCAUUUGUGACUGCAUGGCUGGAGUGCGGCAGAGGGGAUGGAAUUCCGCGUGUAGCAGUGAAAUGCGUAGAUAUGCGGAGGAACACCGAUGCGAAGGCAAUCCCCUGGCCUGCACUGACGCUCAUGCACGAAAGCGUGGGAGCAAACAGG